GACAUCCCCUCGACAACCCGAGAGAUCGGGCGGUUCCCCUUCGGGGGGACAGGGUGACAGGUGGUGCAUGGUUGUCGUCAGCUCGUGUCGUGAGAUGUUGGGUUAAGUCCCGCAACGAGCGCAACCCUCGACCUUAGUUGCCAGCAUUCAGUUGGGCACUCUAAGGUGACUGCCGGCUAAAAGUCGGAGGAAGGUGGGGAUGACGUCAAAUCAUCAUGCCCCUUAUGACCUGGGCUACACACGUGCUACAAUGGGCGGUACAAAGGGUCGCGAACCCGCGAGGGGGAGCCAAUCCCAAAAAGCCGCUCUCAGUUCGGAUUGCAGGCUGCAACUCGCCUGCAUGAAGCCGGAAUCGCUAGUAAUCGCGGAUCAGCAUGCCGCGGUGAAUACGUUCCCGGGCCUU
rnacentral:rRNA from 1 species